ACAACUCUGCUGUUCUCGUUAAGCGAUUGUACAUUCUUGCGCCAGUAUAAAUUAAUGCAUUAGGGAUCUGGAGCGAAGCAUUAAUGAUAGGCUCGCCGGUAUCGCGAUACGGUUUUGAGAAAUCAAGGUCAUGUUUCUGAGGAGCCCACCUGACGCGAAAAGUCAGGCGCAUUUAUGUCGUAUACGGCUCAGCGGAGGUAUU
rnacentral:sRNA from 1 species